AAGGAUCAUUAAUGAAUACAAUUCGGUCGGUGGGAAGGAGGGAGCUGUCGCUGGCCUUUUUGGCAUGUGCACGCUCUCUUUGGAACAUCGGUCGUCUUUCAUAUUUUCACCAGUGCACCCAAUGUAGGAUGCCUCUCCUCCGGGAGGGGGGACCUAUGUCUUUUUCAGACGCCCACAGUUUAGAAAGUCUCAGAAUGUUUACUAUCGUCGAACCACGACUUCCAGGAGAUGUGGGUUGGCGAGAUAAAAGUUAUCACAACUUUCAGCAACGGAUCUCUUGGCUCUC
rnacentral:misc_RNA from 1 species